AAUCCUUACUAAUAAAAGGAACCUUUUGAAGCUCCAUAGAGCGUCCACAUCAGCAAAAAAAACUUCUCUCAAAAGAUGACACGUGGCAUAAAAUAUAGUUUUACACUUUAAUAUUACUAAUUUUCGCAAAUUAUAAAUAAUAUGUAAACAUACAUCAUAAAAAAUAGAAAAACUACAUUAAACAUAAGUAAGAUUACCAUUUUUCACUUGAAAAAAAGACGGCUUAUCUCCAUAAUGUAACAUUACCAUUUUAUAAAAAAAAAAAACAUUAUAUAUAAUUUCGAAAAUAAUAAAUAUAUGUAAACAUACAACAUAAAAAAUGGAAAUACUACAUUAAACAUAUGUAAGAUUACCAUUUUACAUUUUUAAUUUAAAAAAUAAUAAUACCUUACUAAUAAAAGGAACCUUUUGAAGCUCCAUAGAGCGUCCACAUCAGCAAAAAAAACUUCUCUCAAAAGAUGACACGUGGCAUAAAAUAUAGUUUUACACUUUAAUAUUACUAAUUUUCGCAAAUUAUAAAUAAUAUGUAAACAUACAUCAUAAAAAAUAGAAAAACUACAUUAAACAUAAGUAAGAUUACCAUUUUUCACUUGAAAAAAAGACGGCUUAUCUCCAUAAUGUAACAUUACCAUUUUAUAAAAAAAAAAAACAUUAUAUAUAAUUUCGAAAAUAAUAAAUAUAUGUAAACAUACAACAUAAAAAAUGGAAAUACUACAUUAAACAUAUGUAAGAUUACCAUUUUACAUUUUUAAUUUAAAAAAUAAUAAUAUGUAAGCAUACAACAUAAAAAAUAGAAAAACUACAUUAAACAUAUGUAAGAUUACCAUUUUUCACUAAAAAAAGACGGUUUAUCUCCAUAAUGUAAAAUUACUAUUUUGCAAAAAAAACAUUAUAUAUAAUUUCGAAAAUAAUAAAUAAUAUGUAAACAUACAACAUAAAAAAAUGGAAAUACUACAUUAAACAUAUGUAAGAUUACCAUUUUAUAUUUAAAAAUAACAAUAAUAUGUAAACAUACAACAUAAAAAAAUGGAAAAACUACAUUAAACAUAUGUAAGAUUUCCAUUUUUCACUAAAAAAAAGCGGCUUAUCUCCAUAAUGUAACAUUACCAUUUUAUAAAAAAAGAAAAAAAACAUAGAGCGUCCACAUCAGCAAAAAAAACUUCUCUCAAAAGAUGUUACGUGGCAUAAAAUAUAGUUUUACACUUUAAUAUUACUAAUUUUCGCAAAUUAUAAAUAAUAUGUAAACAUACAUCAUAAAAAAUAUAAAAACUACAUUAAACAUAAGUAAGAUUACCAUUUUUCACUUGAAAAAAAGACGGCUUAUCUCCAUAAUGUAACAUUACCAUUUUAUUAAAAAAAAAACAUUAUAUAUAAUUUCGAAAAUAAUAAAUAUAUGUAAACAUACAACAUAAAAAAUGGAAAUACUACAUUAAACAUAUGUAAGAUUACCAUUUUACAUUUUUAAUUUAAAAAAAAAUAAUAUGUAAACAUACAACAUAAAAAAUCCUUACUAAUAAAAGGAACCUUUUGAAGCUCCAUAGAGCGUCCACAUCAGCAAAAAAAACUUCUCUCAAAAGAUGACACGUGGCAUAAAAUAUAGUUUUACACUUUAAUAUUACUAAUUUUCGCAAAUUAUAAAUAAUAUGUAAACAUACAUCAUAAAAAAUAGAAAAACUACAUUAAACAUAAGUAAGAUUACCAUUUUUCACUUGAAAAAAAGACGGCUUAUCUCCAUAAUGUAACAUUACCAUUUUAUAAAAAAAAAAAAAUUAUAUAUAAUUUCGAAAAUAAUAAAUAUAUGUAAACAUACAACAUAAAAAAUGGAAAUACUACAUUAAACAUAUGUAAGAUUACCAUUUUACAUUUUUAAUUUAAAAAAUAAUAAUAUGUAAGCAUACAACAUAAAAAAAUAGAAAAACUACAUUAAACAUAUGUAAGAUUACCAUUUUUCACCAAAAAAAGACGGUUUAUCUCCAUAAUGUAAAAUUACUAUUUUGCAAAAAAAACAUUAUAUAUAAUUUCGAAAAUAAUAAAUAAUAUGUAAACAUACAACAUAAAAAAAAUGGAAAUACUACAUUAAACAUAUGUAAGAUUACCAUUUUAUAUUUAAAAAUAACAAUAAUAUGUAAACAUACAACAUAAAAAAAUGGAAAAACUACAUUAAACAUAUGUAAGAUUUCCAUUUUUCACUAAAAAAAAACGGCUUAUCUCCAUAAUGUAACAAUACCAUUUUAUAAAAAAAGAAAAAAAACAUAAAUAUAACUAUUUGACUAUUUGUCCAAGUUCUUCUAUUAAACAUUGCCGUUUUACAUUAAAAAUGUAAAAAUACAUUAAGAUUUAAACAUCUAUCUUAAAAUAUAAAAUAUAGAUAUUAACUAAAUAUAAAGUAUAAGAAAGAGAAAUACUCAAUAUAUAUAAAAAUAAAUAAUAAGUAAAUAUUAUAAAUAUAUAAAUGUACGAAUUAUAUAUACAAUAAUAAGUACAUGCACAUUUUUUUAAAAAUGGAAAGAGUACAUUAAAUAUUAAACAUCUAUUUAAAAUGUAAAAUAUAGAUAUUAAGUAAAUAAAAAGUAUAAGAAAAAGAAAUACACAACUUAAAAACCCUUACUAAUAAAAUGGACAUUUUGAGGCUCCAUAGAGCGUCCACAUCAGCAAAAAAAAAUUCUCCCAAAAGAUGACACGUGACAUAAAAAUACUAAGAAUAACUUUCAAAACAGAGUUAGAGAACAAGUAUGCGGUGAUGACAAUUUGAAUAGUAAAAUAUAAAAUAUAGACCAUUAUAGAUAUUAACUAAAUAUAAUAUCUUAAAUAACAAAUUUUAUUAAAAAACGGGUUAUCUUCAUAAUGUAACAUUACCAUUUUAUAAAAAAAAAAAAAAAAACAUAAAUAUAACUAUUUGACUAUUUGUCAAAGUUCUUCUAUUAAACAUUGCCGUUUUACAUUAAAAAUGGGAAAAUACGUAAAGAUUUAAACAUCUA
rnacentral:lncRNA from 1 species